GCAAAUGUUAUCUAGGGUUCCGCGAUACUAUGUCGGUCAGGUCCGAGAGAUAACUCACAACUCAAGAGUUGUGCCACGGAGGGAUAAAAGCCUGGGAGAU
rnacentral:sRNA from 2 species